rnacentral:rRNA from 1 species
UACGACUACAUAUCAGGCAUAUCAAUAAGCGGAGGAAAAGAAACUAACAUGGAUUCCCUUAGUAACGGCGAGUGAAGCGGGAAGAGCUCAAAUUUGAAAUCUUCAAGGUUCUACCUUGACGAAUUGUAGUUUAUAGAAGUGUUUUCUGUUAGUGGAGUGGCAAAAGUUCUUUGGAAUAGGACAUCAUAGAGGGUGAGAAUCCCGUAUUUGGUCAUUCCUCCUAGCGUUGUGAUACACUUUCAACGAGUCGGAUUGUUUGGGAAUGCAGUCCAAAAUGGGUGGUAAAUUUCAUCUAAAGCUAAAUAUUGGCGAGAGACCGAUAGCGAACAAGUACCGUGAGGGAAAGAUGAAAAGAACUUUGAAAAGAGAGUUAAACAGUACGUGAAAUUGUCAAAAGGGAAGCGUUUGACACCAGUGUUGUUUUUCCGAAAAUCAAUUGCGAAUGUUUUGUUUUUAAGAAGUUAUGACUUCAUCGGCUUGCUUCCUUUCUUUACGAAACUUUCUUAAUGCACUUUUCGGUUAACAAGUCAACAUCAAUUUCUUUUGUUGUAAAAGGGUAUGAGGAAGGUGGCUUUCUUUUCGGAGAAAGUGUUUAUAGCCUUGUGCCUCUGCAAUCGGAGAGAUUGAGGUCUGCAGCGUAGAUCCUUCGGGGUUAGAUACGUUUGUGCUAAGUUAUAGCUUUUCAUAGACAACUUGUUGACUAUGUUUAGUCUUGUAGCUUACUCGCUGACGCUAUUUUACCUACGCUUAGGAUGUUGAAUCUGUGCGAGACUAC